GUAAAGAAACCCCGGCUAACUCCGUGCCAGCAGCCGCGGUAAUACGGAGGGGGUUAGCGUUGUUCGGAAUUACUGGGCGUAAAGCGCGCGUAGGCGGAUUAGAAAGUUGGGGGUGAAAUCCCGGGGCUCAACCCCGGAACUGCCUCCAAAACUGCUAGUCUAGAGUUCGAGAGAGGUGAGUGGAAUUCCGAGUGUAGAGGUGAAAUUCGUAGAUAUUCGGAGGAACACCAGUGGCGAAGGCGGCUCACUGGCUCGAUACUGACGCUGAGGUGCGAAAGUGUGGGGAGCAAACAGGAUUAGAUACCCUGGUAGUCCACACCGUAAACGAUGAAUGCCAGUCGUCGGAUAGUAUACUAUUCGGUGACACACCUAACGGAUUAAGCAUUCCGCCUGGGGAGUACGGUCGCAAGAUUAAAACUCAAA
rnacentral:rRNA from 1 species